rnacentral:tRNA from 1 species
AUUUAUAUAGUUUAAUAUAAAACAUUACAUUUUCAUUGUAAAAACAAGCUUUACUUUAUAAAUA